rnacentral:rRNA from 1 species
AUUGAACGCUGGCGGCAUGCCUUACACAUGCAAGUCGAACGGCAGCACGGGUGCUUGCACCUGGUGGCGAGUGGCGAACGGGUGAGUAAUAUAUCGGAACGUACCUUAUUGUGGGGGAUAACGCAGCGAAAGCUGUGCUAAUACCGCAUAAUCCCUAAGGGGGAAAGCGGGGGACCGUAAGGCCUCGCGCAAUUAGAGCAGCCGAUACCUGAUUAGCUAGUUGGUGAGGUAAAGGCUCACCAAGGCAACGAUCAGUAGCUGGUCUGAGAGGACGAUCAGCCACACUGGGACUGAGACACGGCCCAGAAUCCUACGGGAGGCAGCAGUGGGGAAUUUUGGACAAUGGGGGCAACCCUGAUCCAGCAAUGCCGCGUGAGUGAAGAAGGCCUUCGGGUUGUAAAGCUCUUUUGUUAGGGAAGAAACACCGGCUCUAACACAGUCCGGGAAUGACGGUACCUGAAGAAUAAGCACCGGCUAACUACGUGCCAGCCGCCGCCGUAA